AGAGUUUGAUCCUGGCUCAGAGCGAACGCUGGCGGCAGGCUUAACACAUGCAAGUCGAACGAUCCUUCGGGAUAGUGGCGGACGGGUGAGUAACACGUGGGAACGUGCCUUUAGGUUCGGAACAACACAGGGAAACUUGUGCUAAUACCGGAUGUGCCCUUCGGGGGAAAGAUUUAUCGCCUUUAGAGCGGCCCGCGUCUGAUUAGCUUGUUGGUGAGGUAAAGGCUCACCAAGGCUACGAUCAGUAGCUGGUCUGAGAGGAUGGCCAGCCACAUUGGGACUGAGACACGGCCCAAACUCCUACGGGAGGCAGCAGUGGGGAAUCUUGCGCAAUGGGGGAAACCCUGACGCAGCCAUGCCGCGUGGAUGAUGAAGGUCUUAGGAUUGUAAAAUCCUUUCAGCGGGGACGAUAAUGACGGUACCCGCAGAAGAAGCCCCGGCUAACUUCGUGCCAGCAGCCGCGGUAAUACGAAGGGGGCUAGCGUUGCUCGGAUUUACUGGGCGUAAAGGGCGCGUAGGCGGAUAGUUAAGUUGGGGGUGAAAGCCCGGGGCUCAACCUCGGAAUUGCCUUCAAUACUGGCUAUCUUGAGUGUGAGAGAGGUGUGUGGAACUCCGAGUGUAGAGGUGAAAUUCGUAGAUAUUCGGAAGAACACCAGUGGCGAAGGCGACACACUGGCUCACUACUGACGCUGAGGCGCGAAAGCGUGGGGAGCAAACAGGAUUAGAUACCCUGGUAGUCCACGCUGUAAACGAUGAGUGCUAGUUGUCGGGCGGCAUGCCGUUCGGUGACGCAGCUAACGCAUUAAGCACUCCGCCUGGGGAGUACGGUCGCAAGAUUAAAACUCAAAGGAAUUGACGG
rnacentral:rRNA from 1 species